rnacentral:rRNA from 1 species
AUUGAACGCUGGCGGCAGGCUUAACACAUGCAAGUCGAGCGGAGAUGAGGUGCUUGCACCUUAUCUUAGCGGCGGACGGGUGAGUAAUGCUUAGGAAUCUGCCUAUUAGUGGGGGACAACAUUCCGAAAGGGAUGCUAAUACCGCAUACGUCCUACGGGAGAAAGCAGGGGAUCUUCGGACCUUGCGCUAAUAGAUGACCCUAAGUCGGAUUAGCUAGUUGGUGGGGUAAAGGCCUACCAAUGCGACGAUCUGUAGCGGGUCUGAGAGGAUGAUCCGCCACACUGGGACUGAGACACGGACCAGACUCCGACGGGAGGCAGCAGUGGGGAAUAUUGGACAAUGGGGGGAACCCUGAUCCAGCCAUGCCGCGUGUGUGAAGAAGGCCUUGUGGUUGUAAAGCACUUUAAGCGAGGAGGAGGCUACUGAGACUAAUACUCUUGGAAAGUGGACGUUACUCGCAGAAUAAGCACCGGCUAACUCUGUGCCAGCCGCCGCGGUAAGAC